AACGAACGCUGGCGGCAUGCCUAACACAUGCAAGUCGAACGAGACCUUCGGGUCUAGUGGCGCACGGGUGCGUAACGCGUGGGAACCUGCCCUUAGGUUCUGAAUAACUCCCCGAAAGGGGUGCUAAUACCGGAUAAUGUCUUCGGACCAAAGAUUUAUCGCCUUUGGAUGGGCCCGCGUUGGAUUAGCUAGUUGGUAGGGUAAAAGCCUACCAAGGCGACGAUCCAUAGCUGGUCUGAGAGGAUGAUCAGCCACACUGGGACUGAGACACGGCCCAGACUCCUACGGGAGGCAGCAGUGGGGAAUAUUGGACAAUGGGCGAAAGCCUGAUCCAGCAAUGCCGCGUGAGUGAUGAAGGACUUAGGGUUGUAAAGCUCUUUUACCCGGGAUGAUAAUGACAGUACCGGGAGAAUAAGCUCCGGCUAACUCCGUG
rnacentral:rRNA from 1 species